UGCGUCCAUCACUGGGGCUGGGACAUGGGCUGGCCACCUUAGUGCCUCCAGCUCUGGCAGAUUUACACCAUGUGCCUCAUGCUUGGGGUUUUGGCCAUUUAUUUUGGGAGUUUUAGCUGAUCUGUAACUCGCUGCUGUGCGAACAACAAAAAAUAAGAUGUUCACCCGGUUCUGUCUAUACAAUAUUACAUAACAUGAGAAUGAAGUAUUUUUCCUUAGCAGCACAUUGCAAUAUUAUGGUGUGAGCCUCUUUGUAUCACCCAGGACACAGACAGAGAAGAAGGUUAUAAAAAGCUGCCUGAGCUGGUUUCAUUUUAAGAGGCCUUCAGACCAAAGGCCUGGUCUCCGCCUUGGGCCUGGCAGGGAGGCUCCGAGAAGUCACCGGGGCUCCCCAUUAAAAUACUGUUAGCACAGACAAGAGUUUUGGUCUUCUUUUUAGUUCAAACGUCGUCUGGGAGAGACAAAGAAACAAAGUGCUUGGAGCAGCGACCCCAGAGGACGUGGAGAUGAUGUGAGGCUUCAGAGCAGGAACAAAAAGAGAUUCAUCAUGUCAGCAGGCCGUGCAGAGGCAAUGCUGAGCCUUCUGCAGGAUCAUUUGCAUGCUGCCACGUUUCUGGAGGUCUAAAUACUCAGCAAGGACAAUUCUCUGAUUUUUCUCUCCUGAAAGAGCUGAUUUCCUACAGGAUUCAGCUGGAAUCCUCUUUGCUCAAAUCUAAAAUGGCUUUAUUAGUGAGUGACAUGAGAAGCUGUUUCUGAAGAAGGAGCACACCACUAAAAAAGUGAAUAUGCAAAUUACUGUGGAGAACAUCUUUGCUGGCCCAGCCUUGACAAAGCAGUGCUGCCUUGUCCCUCUUCCAGUUAAGGAACUAUCACCACAGAUUUGAGGAAGGACGAAACUGCAGCUUGGUGUCUCAGCUGCAGGUGUAGUGAUGCUCUAAGGAAGGCAAAACAACCCUCACACCUGAAUGCAGCCUUAAGGAGGGGGAAAAAAAAGGUACCUGUGAAUACCAGAACCCUCAAGGAUUUAAACAAGGAAACAACAGCUACAGUCAACAAGAUAUGGUCAAGCCUCUUCCAGUGACAGAACCAGAGUUCCUAAGGAUGCUUAGCACUCUUGGUUAUAUCUCAAAAAUCCUAUAAAAGAAAGAGAUAGAGUCUUCUCUCUGGCAUAGAGCUUUAAAUUAUAAGUGAUUACUCCAAAUGCUGGCAUUGCUCUGGUGGAAAUGAGAGGCACUACAGGUGCAAUAUUCCACUGGGCACUGCAUCAAAAAAAUACUGCUCCAGUAAUUCACAGAAUACAUGGCAGGCAUUGUCCAGGUCACUGCAACGGGGUCAGCCUUGAAAAGACACGGAGUGACAGAGGACAGCUGUGAAAUAUCUGCCCCCACUGCACGGCCACCGAGAGCCCCGGCCUGGCUCGGCCCCGGCGGGGGCUGUCAGCACCACCCUGGAGCCCUUGCCCGAAUUCCUGGAACACUCAGCUCCAGCAAAGGGGACUGCAAGGUUACCAAUAAGAGACAAGUCCUGAGGGGAAUAUUCAGGAGCAGCUCCUCGGUGGUGGCUGCUUCCCGCUGUGGAAUGUCACUCACAUGAAAAGUCACGAUGCCUUGAUAGGCUUCACAAUCCCCAUCAGUUCUUCAGCUGCUUGGCUAAUCAGAUAUUAUUACCUCCUUUGUGUUUUCUUUCCCAGCCCUCUCUCUCUCUUUCUCUGGCAAGGUUGCUGUAAAAGGACUCAGUAAUGAUUCCUAUCUAAAUAUUUCACUUGCAAUACAAAGGUCUAUAUUUUGCA